CUUUCUACACAGGCUGGGAUUUGUUGCAAUGCUGUGUUUCUCGAUGGUAUUGCACUUGUCCCGGCCUGUUGAGUUUGG
ensembl:miRNA Mir92a microRNA mir-92a